CCUACGGGUGGCAGCAGUGAGGAAUAUUGGUCAAUGGACGAGAGUCUGAACCAGCCAAGUAGCGUGAAGGAUGACUGCCCUAUGGGUUGUAAACUUCUUUUAUAUGGGAAUAAAAUGUUCCACGUGUGGGAUUUUGUAUGUACCAUAUGAAUAAGGAUCGGCUAACUCCGUGCCAGCAGCCGCGGUAAUACGGAGGAUCCGAGCGUUAUCCGGAUUUAUUGGGUUUAAAGGGAGCGUAGGUGGAUUGUUAAGUCAGUUGUGAAAGUUUGCGGCUCAACCGUAAAAUUGCAGUUGAAACUGGCAGUCUUGAGUACAGUAGAGGUGGGCGGAAUUCGUGGUGUCGCGGUGAAAUGCUUAGAUAUCACGAAGAACUCCGAUUGCGAAGGCAGUUCACUGGACUGCAACUGACACUGAGGCUCGAAAGUGUGGGUAUCAAACAGGAUUAGAUACCCUUGUAGUC
rnacentral:rRNA from 1 species